rnacentral:rRNA from 1 species
CCCUCCCUCUUUCCUCCUGCCUAACACAUGCAAGUCGAACGAGACCUUCGGGUCUGGUGACGCGCGGGUGGGUAAGGAGUGGGUACCUGCCCUUCGGUUCGGAGUGGCUAACCGCAGGGGAUUGUGAUACAGAACAAUGUCUUCGGCCCAAAGAUUGAUCGCCUUUGGAUGGGCCCGCGUUGGAUUAGCUUGUUGGUAGGGUAAACGCCUACCAAGGCGGCGAUCCAUAGCUGGUCUGAGAGGCUGAUCAGCCACACUGGGACUGAGACACGGCCCAGACUCCUACGGGAGGCAGCAGUGGGGAAUAUUGGACAAUGGGCGAAAGCCUGAUCCAGCAAUGCCGCGUGGGUGAUGAAGGCCUUAGGAUUGUAAAGCUCUUUUGGCCGGGAUGAUAAUGACAGUACCGGGAGAAGAAGCUCCGGCUAACUCCGUG